AUUGAUAAGCGACCAACACGGGCGAUACUUCCUUUUACAUAUCUUUGUAACUUUUCAUCUACUAACGAUAUUUUUCUCUCCGCCCUUUUCAUUCCAAUUCGAAUUUGGUUCUAAUUUCUCUUAUAAUGCUUAGCUUUCAUCUUACUCGUUACAUCUGGUUAUUAUAAAAACAUGCCCUCUGAAUAACUUUGUGAUAUCUUUACAAGGGCAUGGUAAUUGUGUAAGACACGAAAGCUCUCGGACAAUCACUUGGACAACACACCCAUAUGGUUGUUGCUGAGAAUAUUACUCAGUGUUAGUGCUUAAGAAAGCUUGAACAUCUUCAACAUGACGUACCUUAAAGUAGAAACUGACACUUGAGCCGAGGAUCUUCCAAAAACAAUGAGAUGAAUAAUUUACAUGGGAGGAGAGUUAUAAAUUAAGCUUUGCUUCGCUAACUAAGCAUGUGAGUACUCACCUAUGGAGAUUAUUUUUGUAAUAAUGCUACAAGAAAUGACUUUGCUACUACAUAUAUAUUUGCCAAGAUAAUGAAGGAAGACAAUUCAGUUGUUAUACAUCUUGGUAAGGAAGAUAAAAUCAUAGGAGAAAGUUGAGUGAGAUGGAGUUGGAUGCAGUCCUAUCCAGAAGUUCUGAAUCUUGUCUUUGCCAUCUGCUGAAUACUGUUAGUUUAUUUCCUUAGAUUUUUUCCAGGUCAUGAAAGAGUACAACAGAUUUUGGAUUUCACCUGCAACAAGCCACUACAACAUAUCUCAUUGUUGACCCACCUCUCUAUUUAUCUUUCUAGCAAGCUUUUUGUAACUUUGUUCCACAAAUUAAUAUAAAGAAACGAACAUGUCUCCUUAUUUGUA